rnacentral:rRNA from 1 species
GACGAACGCUGGCGGCGUGCUUAACACAUGCAAGUCGAACGGAAAGGCCUGUCCUUCCUUGUGUUGGACGGGUACUCGAGUGGCGAACGGGUGAGUAACACGUGAGUGAUCUGCCCCCAACUUGGGUAUAAGCCUGGGAAACUGGGUCUAAUUCCCGAUAGGACUGCAGGGUGGUGCCUGUGGUGGAAAACGAUUUUCUAGUGGUUGGGGAUGAGCUCGCGGCCUAUCAGCUUGUUGGUGGGGUAAUGGCCUACCAAGGCGGCGACGGGUAGCCGGCCUGAGAGGGUGGACGGCCACAUUGGGACUGAGAUACGGCCCAGACUCCUACGGGAGGCAGCAGUGGGGAAUAUGGCACAAUGGGCGGAAGCCUGAUGCAGCGACGCCGCGUGGGGGAUGACGGCCUUCGGGUUGUAAACUCCUUUCGACCGCGAGGAAGCCGCCUGGUUGGAAGGGUGGUGACGGUAGUGGUAGAAGAAGCACCGGCUAACUACGUG